AAUUUCUUUGCAGUAAGUGCUACAUGUUGGGGUAGUCUGGGUGUCUAGCAA
rnacentral:miRNA from 1 species